GAUGAACGCUGGCUACAGGCUUAACACAUGCAAGUCGAGGGGAAACGACGGGGAAGCUUGCUUCCCCGGGCGUCGACCGGCGCACGGGUGAGUAACGCGUAUCCAACCUGCCUCUGACUGAGGGAUAACCCGUCGAAAGUCGGCCUAAUACCUCAUGGCAUCGUCUGCGGGCAUCCAACGACGAUUAAAGAUUUCAUCGGUCAGGGAUGGGGAUGCGUCUGAUUAGCUUGUUGGCGGGGUAACGGCCCACCAAGGCUACGAUCAGUAGGGGUUCUGAGAGGAAGGUCCCCCACAUUGGAACUGAGACACGGUCCAAACUCCUACGGGAGGCAGCAGUGAGGAAGAUUGGUCAAGGGGCGGGAGCCUGAACCAGCCAAGUAGCGUGCAGGAUGACGGCCCUAUGGGUGGUAAACUGCUUUUAUGCGGGGAUAAAGUGAGGGACGUGUCCUUCAUUGCAGGUACCGCAUGAAUAAGGACCGGCUAAUUCCGUG
rnacentral:rRNA from 1 species